rnacentral:lncRNA from 1 species
UUAGAGGUAGAUUGGCACUAUCAAUUUUGUUGAAUUUAGAUUUAUUUUUAUUAUUUUUAGUGAAACUUCAUUUGAUGCAAGACAUUUGAAUUUGGAUAUUGUUUGGUUUGGUUAAUAAAUUUAAAUUUUUUAUUAAUACCACUAUAACGUAUUGAUAUCUGUUUAAAAUACUUUGCAUGUUUGUGGGGAGAGAUCUUCAUAAAUACGUGGUGGUUGCCAUGAUCUCGACUUAAAAUCUUGGGUCGAAGGCAUGAUAAUAUUGAUACAAGGAAAGUUUUCAUUUGACUGAAUAGCAGCUUGUGGCAUUUCCUACGAUAAAAUCCUUAAACAU